GGGGGUCACAACUACCACUUGAGCUGGAGAUUCUUAAGCGUUUUUAAUACAAAACAAAUGAUUUGACAAUUUUAUCGGGGGUCAGCUGACCCCCCCCCCUACUCCCUUAGUAGAUCCACCCAUGCAUAGCGUCUGAUCGAUUCCUAAGUUGAAGCUCUAAUCGGCUAUUUUCUCGUUAAAAUCAUUUUGGCCAGUGGUAACGAAUGCCUUGGAGA
rnacentral:lncRNA from 1 species